GAUGAACGCUGGCGGCGUGCCUAAUACAUGCAAGUCGAGCGAACAGACGAGGAGCUUGCUCCUCUGACGUUAGCGGCGGACGGGUGAGUAACACGUGGAUAACCUACCUAUAAGACGGGGAUAAUUUGGGGAAACGGGAGCAAAUACGGGAGAAUCUAUUGAACCGCAGGGGGGAAUAGUGAAAGACGGUGUUGCUGUAAGUAAUAGAGGGAUCCGCGCCGCAUUAGCUAGUUGGUAAGGUAACGGCUUACCAAGGCAACGAUGCGUAGCCGACCUGAGAGGGUGAUCGGCCACACUGGAACUGAGACACGGUCCAGACUCCUACGGGAGGCAGCAGUAGGGAAUCUUCCGCAAUGGGCGAAAGCCUGACGGAGCAACGCCGCGUGAGUGAUGAAGGUCUUCGGAUCGUAAAACUCUGUUAUUAGGGAAGAACAAAUGUGUAAGUAACUAUGCACGUCUUGACGGUACCUAAUCAGAAAGCCACGGCUAACUACGUG
rnacentral:rRNA from 1 species